CAUUAUCACCACCGAUGUUGUCCCCCAUCUCUCUCUCUCACUCAGGUCCGAAAAUGGGAGCAGCGACCCCGGGUGAGGGUGCCCGCUGCGGUGGCCUCCAGCGAGGGCGCGCAUGGCAGCAACCCCCGGCGAGGGUGCUCGCGGCGGCCCCCCACAACGGUGCACGUUACGCCCCUGGCGAGGAAGCUCCUCGACGGUGGCUCCCACGCAGCACGACUGCCUCAACAUGCUCAGGAUGAAGGCGAGCCUAGCGUCCUUUCGUAUGGCUCCUGGGGGCGCGGCCGCGCACGGGCCAAGGCGGAGCCGAGGCUGGUGCUCCAGAUCUGCAGCCACUGCGCUGGCAAGGAGAAGCUGUAUGGCAAGGUGGCUGACUAAGAUAUGGCAAAGGAGCAUGUUAACCAGGUGUUGCUUGAGUUAAGCAAUUUACAUAUCAUGCAUAAGUAAUCUGUGUCCAUUUUAGUUGUGUACUCACUGUGUUUUCUAUUUCUAAGGGUCAGUGCAAGUUCAACAAAGAUAUAGCGUCUAUACGUGAUGUGUUUUGUAUGAUUCAGAACUGCUAGUCACCAAUUUUAGCUAUGUGCUGGUUGAAUUGAUAUCUUUCAGAUUUUUUCUUUAAUUGAUAGGUCUGUAUUCAGUAAACAUGUUAGAUCUAGUUUUAUUAGGAUAUGGCCUGCUAGAACUAAGUCAUUACUGUUUUAUUAAUGGUGUUUUGACCACAAUUCCAAUGCAGUUUCACCUCUAGAAACAGGAAGGUACAUUGGUGUUUGCUAGCAUUUUUUUUAGUAAUGUGGGCAAUAGCAUUGUAUUAACUGCCUCUGACAUGGUGGAUCCGUACAAGCCUUUCUUUACUAUAUACCUUAUUAGACACUAAUGAGGUUAUUAAGAAGGCAAUAAUAUAAUUCUGGAAUAGGCAAAAUGGUACACUGCAUUAGGCAAAAAUAUGGUUUGAUCAGGCAGUAAUAUUGUUCUGGAAGAGGUCAAUUAGCAUAUUUUUGCUAUCAAUCAUUUCGAUUUUACUGAUCAACUUGUGGAAUUCAUUUGUAGGCAAGUUAUGCAAAAUCAACAGGCAAAUUAUUCAUUUUAGGUUAGCAUUUUUUGAUUUAGCACAGGUUUUACAAUUGCUAGCAGUAUGUAGUUGUAUAUUGGAUAGGUUUUGAUUUCACACUUGUUCCUUUUCUCUUUUUUUGGUUCUGCAUUUAUUCCAUUAGUGUGUCUUCUUUACUUUUCUUUUGUAUCCUCUAUCUACUGAUCUUGGUAGAUUCCAUUUUCCUAUUGAAGUACCAGGCAUAGAAGCAAGUUGUAGAUUAGGAUGAGAUGAUCAGCUGUAGGCACCGCACUGUAAUAGGACCUGAUGAGGUAGCUACAGGCGCAGGAGUAAGAUUGUGUAGGCUCACACAAAUGUGAUGAUGGUGCCGGUCCAUUAUUUUUUUGGUGCUAGAGAAUGAGACUUGAACACUUGCUUUGUGUCAUUGUAUGAAUGUUUAGAUUGGUGAAAAUACCUUUGUACCUGUUCUAAUUUUUUUAGAGUUCUUUAACUUUUCUUAUGAGGUCCCUGAAAGAACCGUGACACCCUAGAAGGGGGGGGGGGGUGAAUUAGGUGCUCUAAAAACUAAAGCUCCAAGCACAUAUAAAAACCUAUUCCAAAAUCUAUCUAGAUGUGCACUAGGUUUUUCUAUGUGUUACUUUCUCUACCGUAUAAAAGUUUU